rnacentral:rRNA from 1 species
AACGAACGCUGGCGGCAUGCCUAACACAUGCAAGUCGAACGAGACCUUCGGGUCUAGUGGCGCACGGGUGCGUAACGCGUGGGAACCUUCCCUUAGGUUCGGAAUAACUCCCCGAAAGGGGUGCUAAUACCGGAUAAUGUCUUCGGACCAAAGAUUUAUCGCCUUUGGAUGGGCCCGCGUUGGAUUAGCUAGUUGGUAGGGUAAAAGCCUACCAAGGCGACGAUCCAUAGCUGGUCUGAGAGGAUGAUCAGCCACACUGGGACUGAGACACGGCCCAGACUCCUACGGGAGGCAGCAGUGGGGAAUAUUGGACAAUGGGCGAAAGCCUGAUCCAGCAAUGCCGCGUGAGUGAUGAAGGCCUUAGGGUUGUAAAGCUCUUUUAACCGGGAUGAUAAUGACAGUACCGGGAGAAUAAGCGCCGGCUAACUCCGUG